CCUACGGGGGGCAGCAGUGAGGAAUAUUGGUCAAUGGACGAGAGUCUGAACCAGCCAAGUAGCGUGAAGGAUGACUGCCCUAUGGGUUGUAAACUUCUUUUAUAUGGGAAUAAAACGUUCCACGUGUGGGAUUUUGUAUGUACCAUAUGAAUAAGGAUCGGCUAACUCCGUUCCAGCAGCCGCGGUAAUACGGAGGAUCCGAGCGUUAUCCGGAUUUAUUGGGUUUAAGGGGAGCGUAGGUGGAUUGUUAAGUCAGUUGUGAAAGUUUGCGGCUCAACCGUAAAAUUGCAGUUGAAACUGGCAGUCUUGAGUACAGUAGAGGUGGGCGGAAUUCGUGGUGUAGCGGUGAAAUGCUUAGAUAUCACGAAGAACUCCGAUUGCGAAGGCAGUUCACUGGACUGCAACUGACACUGAGGCUCGAAAGUGUGGGUAUCAAACAGGAUUAGAUACCCUUGUAGUC
rnacentral:rRNA from 1 species